GAUUCCAGGACCCGUCCCAGUUGCCCUUGAGACCUAUGCCGUAGACAGGGUGGAGUGAGAGGUGAAGGAUCGAGAAGCACAGACCCGGGAAAGCUUCCCUGGAAGGUGGGCGAGAAUUGCUGGUACCUGUUUUAGAGUUAGCGUCGCCGGAGAAUAAUAGAGAAAACCAUGUGGAGGAGUGAGAAGUCAACAGAAACCAUAAGAGCAGACACAGAAAAGGAGAGGACAUCGCCAUGUGACCUGAGGGAGAGAGGCAAGCAAAGGAACCCCAUGGAAUGCGGCAGCCAGCACCAGAAUGUUACAGACUUUGGGGAGAAAACAUAGCCGUGCUGAUGUCUCGAUCAUGGACUUCUCCUGUCCUCAAAACUGAAUUGUGAUUUCAGAAACAUCUUUGAAAAGAUCUAGGUAAGCAAUACAUGUGGCAAGCACACCCUGAAGGUUUUUGGAAAGGCUCAGCCAAUUUUCCCAUCAGAUAUUAAUGAAGAAAAGAAACUUGCAUUCAUAUCAAACAUCACAGAAACUUUUAUGACAGAAGUAACAACACAAGAACAGUGUAAGGAGCACUGCACCAAGUGCCUUUGUGGCAGAGAUGACAACCAGAACCAGUUCAACCGAAUUAGCAACAUGCCAUCUUCCAACUGGAGACUUACUUCAGCUUUGCUGCCUGGGUAGGCUCUAAUAUGAGGCGAAGCUGUUCACACAACUGUUGUGAAAGAGGUGCAGUUAAGACCAGAUAACUCUGCCACAUCUCAGCUGCAGCCUUCUCCUGUGUCAACAGCAAUAAAAAAUGUAAGUCAGAGCCAACCAAAGUCAUUACAGCCAAAUGAAGGCUUGAGGUGAAGUAGGAGAAAAAACUUGCAUGCAUUUACUAAACAUAAGCACUUUAUAAAGCUUCCCUUCAGCCUCUCUCAGCAAGAUGCUCUCUAAUUAAACAGAUUAAAAAUGUCCUUCCUUCCAUCAAAAUCACAUUCCACAGUUCCAAAUGAUAAAGAAUAAAAAGGCAGUAAAAUAUUGGUACUCAUGACCAAACUGAUACCUUCUUCACAUCACCUACAAAGAGUCAAAAGUUUCCAAAAGCAAAACUGACAAGUCAAUUUUAUGAGGAGCAUACUCAACAGUGUGCUUAUUUUCUGGUCUGGAAACCCCAUGAUUUUUCUGCUUCUGUGGCAGAGCACUUAUGCUGAUCUGAAGCUGUUAUGUACCCCAGGAAAAGGCCUUGUUCUUUUAAUCCAUUCUGUGGGUGCAGACCUGUUGUCGGUAGGACCUUUGAUUAGGUUAUUCAAUUUGAGAUGU